AUUGAACGCUGGCGGCAGGCCUAACACAUGCAAGUCGAGCGAGCGGCGGACGGGUGAGUAAUGUAUGGGGAUCUGCCUGAUGGAGGGGGAUAACUACUGGAAACGGUAGCUAAUACCGCAUACCAUCAGAUGAACCCAUAUGGGAUUAGCUUGUCGGUAAGGUAACGGCUUACCUAGGCGACGAUCCAUAGCCGGUCUGAGAGGAUGAGCGGCCACACUGGGACUGAGACACGGCCCAGACUCACACGGGAGUCAGCAGUAGGGAAUAUUGAGCAAUGGGCGCAAGCCUGAGGUAGCAAUGCCGCGUGUAUGAAGAAGGCUUUCGGAUUGUAAAGGACUUUUAUUAGGGAGGCGUUACCGACAGAAGAAGCACCGGCUAACUCCGUGCCAGCCGCCGCGGUAAUAC
rnacentral:rRNA from 1 species